AGGAUGAUCAGCCACACUGGGACUGAGACACGGCCCAGACUCCUACGGGAGGCAGCAGUGGGGAAUUUUGGACAAUGGGCGAAAGCCUGAUCCAGCCAUUCCGCGUGCAGGAUGAAGGCCCUCGGGUUGUAAACUGCUUUUGUACAGAACGAAAAAGCUCUGGCUAGUACCUGGAGUCCAUGACGGUACUGUAAGAAUAAGCACCGGCUAACUACGUGCCAGCAGCCGCGGUAAUACGUAGGGUGCAAGCGUUAAUCGGAAUUACUGGGCGUAAAGCGUGCGCAGGCGGUUUUGUAAGACAGAGGUGAAAUCCCCGGGCUCAACCUGGGAACUGCCUUUGUGACUGCAAGGCUGGAGUGCGGCAGAGGGGGAUGGAAUUCCGCGUGUAGCAGUGAAAUGCGUAGAUAUGCGGAGGAACACCGAUGGCGAAGGCAAUCCCCUGGGCCUGCACUGACGCUCAUGCACGAAAGCGUGGGGAGCAAACGGGAUUAGAUACCCCGGUAGUC
rnacentral:rRNA from 1 species